rnacentral:lncRNA from 10 species
GGGUUGGGUGGCGGUUGAGACAGCGGCGGUACUGGGAUGGGUAGGUGAGGAUCCCGAGACUGAGUGAGCUUCUGCGCGCGGUGCUUUUGGGAACGCGGGACUGGCAACCUGCGGCGCCAGGAGCUGGGCCGAGGCGCGGCGGCGCGGCUGCGGGCCGCCGUCUGGAUGGGAAGUUACGGCGAAGUCCACCCAGCGUUUCUCAGGCAAUCUGAAGGCAAAUCCUGUUUAGACCCAGGCGAAGGUUCCUGGUGACCCAGGCUCUCACCAGCCAAUUGUCCCUUGCCGUCCUCCUGAGGGUAUCUGGAGCUUCAGUGCUGUGUGCUCUUGGCCUCCACACUGGGGAUGCCACUGACUCCCACUGUCCAGGGCUUCCAGUGGACUCUCCGAGGCCCUGAUGUAGAAACUUCCCCAUUCGGUGCACCAAGAGCAGCCUCACAUGGUGUGGGCCGACAUCAAGAGCUGCGAGAUCCAACAGGUCCUGGGGGAGUAGGAGCCAGUGCAAGGAGAGAAGUCCAGUGAGAAAGGCAAAUGGAUGACAUCAGACCCAGGGGCUGAGGUCCCCAGCUGCAGCUGGGUAGCUUCUGGAGUGGACAGGGAGCAACAGGGAAGUUCGUGGCCUGGUGUUCUGGGAUGCAUUGUCUCAUCUCGUUCUUGUGAGCACCAGAACUUAUCCAAAGACAAGACUCAGUGUCUCUGGCAACAGUGGGCCAGAGACAGAAUGUGUGAAUUUCAGAGGAGGAGGAAGGGGUUGUACCCCAUGGAAACAGUAUAUGGUUUUACAGUAGCGCAUCUUUCUCUAAUAACUGGUUAGUGUGUUCCUGUUAAUGGAAAAUAUUGGUGGUGUAAGUUUCCCCACUGUUCUCAUCUUCAUGUAAAUUUGUUCAUUUCCUUCCUUCCUUCCUUCCUUCCUUCCUUCCUUCC